rnacentral:hammerhead_ribozyme from 1 species
AUCCAGCUGACGGGUCACAAAUAGGAUGAAACGCGCUUUCUGGAU